rnacentral:rRNA from 1 species
CGAAGCUGAUCCAGCCAUGCCGCGUGCAGGAAGACUGCCCUAUGGGUUGUAAACUGCUUUUUUACGGGAAGAAACACCCCCUCGUGAGGGGGCUUGACGGUACCGUAAGAAUAAGGACCGGCUAACUCCGUGCCAGCAGCCGCGGUAAUACGGAGGGUCCGAGCGUUAUCCGGAAUCAUUGGGUUUAAAGGGUCCGUAGGCGGGCGAUUAAGUCAGUGGUGAAAGUCUGCAGCUCAACUGUAGAAUUGCCAUUGAUACUGGUUGCCUUGAAUCGUUGUGAAGUGGCUAGAAUAUGUGGUGUAGCGGUGAAAUGCUUAGAUAUCACAUAGAAUACCGAUUCGAAGGCAGA